UGUAGAUAUAUAGGUGUAUAUAUAUUACCGUUUUUUUUGCAUAAGAAACAUGAAUGUAGUUAAUUUUUACUGUAUUCUAUGUAUUUAUAGAAAAAAAAACAAUCACAUAAUUAUGCGUUAAUAUAUAAAAUAUGAUUUGUCUGUUAUGAAAAUAUAUAAGUAAUAUGCACAUGAAUAUGUAUGUAUGUAUAUAUAUGAACAUUUAAAACCAAACGGGUUAAAAACAAAACAAAACAAAAAAAAAUCAUAAUAAUAAAUAUAGUAACAAUGGUAGUAAUGAUAAUUAUAAAACAUUCGAAAUAACAAAAAUUAAAUUUUUUUUUUUUUUUUUUUUUUUUUUUUUUUUUUUUUUUUUUUUUUUUAUAUAACUCAUUUUUGUUGGAUCCAUUCUUUAUCAUAUGUAUAUAUUUAUUUUCAGAAACUUUACUCUUUUUUUCUUCUUCAUUAGGUGUCAUUUUUUUUAGUGUGUUUAACUUAUCAUGUUCGUCCUGUCCAUUUUUUUCGUCUUGCCGAUUUUUUUCGUCUUGCCAU
rnacentral:lncRNA from 1 species